GAUGAACGCUGGCGGCGUGCCUAAUACAUGCAAGUCGAGCGAACAGACGAGGAGCUUGCUCCUCUGACGUUAGCGGCGGACGGGUGAGUAACACGUGGAUAACCUACCUAUAAGACUGGGAUAACUUCGGGAAACCGGAGCUAAUACCGGAUAAUAUAUUGAACCGCAUGGUUCAAUAGUGAAAGACGGUUUUGCUGUCACUUAUAGAUUGAUCCGCGCCGCAUUAGCUAGUUGGUAAGGUAACGGCUUACCAAGGCGACGAUGCGUAGCCGACCUGAGAGGGUGAUCGGACACACUGGAACUGAGACACGGUCCAGACUCCUACGGGAGGCAGCAGUAGGGAAUCUUCCGCAAUGGGCGAAAGCCUGACGGAGCAACGCCGCGUGAGUGAUGAAGGUCUUCGGAUCGUAAAACUCUGUUAUUAGGGAAGAACAAAUGUGUAAGUACCUAUGCACGUCUUGACGGUACCUAAUCAGAAAGCCACGGCUAACUACGUG
rnacentral:rRNA from 1 species